GUGAAUCAUCAAAUUUUUAACGCAAAUUGCGCUUCCUUGCCUCCCGGGGAGUAUUCCUUGUUGAGGGUCAGUAUUUAUAAAAAAACGGGUUAGUUAAAAAUUGUUACGUUUCCGGGGUUUUGGCUAUCUUUACCUUUUUGGUUAAGAGGCUUAAAAUUGACCUUUUUUGCGCAUUUUUAAACGGACAUAAAUUUUUUUUUUUCGUCUAUUUCUAAUUCCAAAAUCUUAUUAAAUUCCAUCACAU
rnacentral:misc_RNA from 1 species